rnacentral:rRNA from 1 species
GACAGAGGGUGCAAACGUUGCUCGGAAUUACUGGGCGUAAAGCGCGUGUAGGCGGGCCGGAAAGUCGGGCGUGAAAUCCCUGGGCUCAACCCAGGAACUGCACUCGAAACUUCCGGUCUAGAGUGGUGGAGAGGGAAGUGGAAUUCCUGGUGUAGAGGUGAAAUUCGUAGAUAUCGGGAGGAAGGCCGGUGGCGAAGGCGGCGCUCUGGAACAUUUCUGACGCUGAGGCUCGAAAGCGUGGGGAGCAAACAGG